GACUCGAUCAAUCGAUUUUCAGGCUAACAAAACGAUAGGAAACAUCCACGCGUAUCCUGUGCACGAAGGAAACGCUGAAUUAACAGAUGAGAUUCUCCAUUUUUCUUGGCAAAUAUCGUACACGCAACUUGAAGAAACGAAAUCAGUUCAUUACAUAUUGAACUAUGGAUUCAUCCGUUACUGUCUCAACUUUGUAAUAUCUUACUUGGUGAUUAUGAUACAAUGGAGUCAGCACUUGAUAAAGAACGACCCAAUGAUAAUCACAAACAAAACUACCACCUUUCAAACGUUACAAGAGAAUACGAGCACAGUAGUACAGUAAUACACUUUUGGAUACUUUUCGAUAGCGUCUUGGUAUGGAAUUAUAAAAGUCGCACAUGGAAACUGUAAUUAAUCAUCAAUAAACUGCACCUCAUAAA